UGGGGGAUAUUGCACAAUGGGCGAAAGCCUGAUGCAGCAACGCCGCGUGAGGGAAGACGGUUUUCGGAUUGUAAACCUCUGUCUUUGGUGACGAAACAAAUGACGGUAGCCAAGGAGGAAGCCACGGCUAACUACGUGCCAGCAGCCGCGGUAAUACGUAGGUGGCGAGCGUUGUCCGGAAUUACUGGGUGUAAAGGGAGCGCAGGCGGGGAGACAAGUCAGCUGUGAAAACUAUGGGCUUAACCCAUAAACUGCAGUUGAAACUGUUUUUCUUGAGUGGAGUAGAGGUAGGCGGAAUUCCGAGUGUAGCGGUGAAAUGCGUAGAUAUUCGGAGGAACACCAGUGGCGAAGGCGGCUGCCUGGACCGAUAUUGACGCUGAGACGCGAAAGCGUGGGUAGCAAACA
rnacentral:rRNA from 1 species